CUUUGUUUAUGGUGAGAAGAGUUUAUUCAGCGAAGCCACAGUUCAAGGCUAAUGUGAUGGUUCACUUAUGAGGAAUAUAUGAGAGAUAUUUCUUCACUUAACACCUGAUUUCACUCGUUGUUAAACCUUUGAAGAAAUCAAAUUAAACAUUUGCAGUGUCGUGACCUUUCUGGACCAGAGUUUGACCUCAGUGACCUCUAGCAAUGUCCGAUUCAGCAGAAAAAAUCACAUCAUCAAUAUCACAGAACUGACUUAUCUUCUAGAACUAGAUCUUUGGAUGAUGCAACCUCCUGAAAUAUGUCCCGGGGUCAGCAUGUUCAGGAAUGCAGCUUCAACAUUGUGUGUGUGUGUGUGUGUGUGUGUGUGUGUGUGUGUGUGUGUGUUCUGUAUAGCUGGUGGUCAGCAGUGUGUUUAGUGAGUCAUUGUGCUAAAUUUGGGGUCAAAGGUUAAGC
ensembl:lncRNA